rnacentral:rRNA from 1 species
UACUAGAGUAGCACUCGCAUAUCAAUAAGCGGAGGAAAAGAAACUAACAAGGAUUCCCCUAGUAACGGCGAGUGAAGCGGGAAGAGCUCAAAUUUGAAAUCUUAAAGGGUUUCCCUUUACGAAUUGUAGUUUAAAGAAGUGUUUUCUGUUGGGGUUUUGGUAAAAGUUCUUUGGAAUAGGACAUCAUAGAGGGUGAGAAUCCCGUAUUUGACCUUUACUUUCAACUUUGUGAUACACUUUCAAAGAGUCGGAUUGUUUGGGAAUGCAGUCCAAAAUGGGUGGUAAAUUUCAUCUAAAGCUAAAUAUUGGCGAGAGACCGAUAGCGAACAAGUACCGUGAGGGAAAGAUGAAAAGAACUUUGAAAAGAGAGUUAAACAGUACGUGAAAUUGUCAAAAGGGAAGCGUUUGACACCAGUGUUGUUUUUCUGAAAAUCAAUUAAAGAACUGUUUAUGCUAAGUUGUUUAGACUUUAUCAGCUAACUGUUUAGUUUUGAGCUUUUCUUUAAUGCACUUUUCAGUUAACAAGUCAACAUCAAUUUCUUUUGCUGUAAAAAAGCUUGAGGAAGGUGGCUUGAGAUUCGUCUUAAGUGUUUAUAGCCUCUUGCCUAUGCAGUCGGAGAGAUUGAGGUCUGCAGUGUAGAUCCUUCGGGGCUAAAUGCAUUUGUGCUAAGUUAUAGCAUUUUAUAGACAACUUGUUGACUAUGAUUUGUCUUGUAGCUUACUCGCUUAUGUUAUUUUACCUACGCUUAGGAUGUUGAACUCUAUCACACACAG